AGUCGUAACAAGGUUUCCGUAGGUGAACCUGCGGAAGGAUCAUUGUCGAAACCUGCCCAGCAGAACGACCCGCGAACCUGUGAUCUUGCCCGAGGGGGUCCGGCGUGGGGAGCUCCGGCCGCCCGYGUUGGUCCCCUCCUGCUGCGGGGUGUGAGGGGGAUCCCUCUCGCUCCUUUGCGGCCGAACAACGAACCCCCGGCGCGAGCCGCGCCAAGGAAACUCUAACGAGAGAGAGCGCUCCCGCCGUCCCGGACACGGAUCGGCUCGCGGGAUGYGUCCCUUUCUUUCAAUAAAAGACCAAAACGACUCUCGRCAACGGAUAUCUCGGCUCUCGCAUCGAUGAGAAGUUGCGCCCCAAGCCUUUAGGCCGAGGGCACGUCUGCCUGGGUGUCACGCAUCGUUGCCCNCUACCCCCUCCUCUUUGGUGGACGGUCGGGCGGGCGGAGAUUGGCCUCCCGUGCGCUCCCGCUCGCGGUUGGCCCAAAUUCGAGUCCCACGGCGACCGUGCCGCGACGAUCGGUGGUGAAACAUGCCUCUCGAGCUCCCGUCGCGCGCUCGCGUCUCCGUGUCACGGGCUCGCGGACCCUUGUAAGCGC
rnacentral:sRNA from 1 species